GCCGGGUGCAGUGGUGCAUGCCUGUAAUCCUAGUGACUCGGGAGGCUGAGCCAGGAGAAUCACAAGUUGAGGCCAGCCUCAGCAAAUUAGCGAGGCCCUAAGCAACUUAGUAAGACCCCGUCUCAA
rnacentral:sRNA from 1 species